GCGAUCCUCAGGCCCUGAACGAUUUUUUACAUGGAUCCGAAAAGAUUGACAGUGAGGAUCUCCUGGACAACUCAGGAGAUGCUGCCAGUGCCUUUUUUGAAGGUGCUGGGCUCCACGGGCAGGAGGCCGCCGGGAACCCCCUGAGCGCCGAGCCGAGCCAGCCGGCGGCCAGCGUGGACCUGGACUUCCUGGAGGAUGACAU